rnacentral:rRNA from 1 species
GAUGAACGCUGGCGGCGUGCCUAAUACAUGCAAGUCGAGCGAAGUUUUUCUGGUGCUUGCCCUAGAAAAACUUAGCGGCGAACGGGUGAGUAACACGUAAAGAACCUGCCUCAUAGACUGGGACAACUAUAGGAAACGAUAGCUAAUACCGGAUAACAGUAUUUCUCGCAUGAGAGAUAUUUAAAAGUUGGUUAUGCUAACACUAUGAGAUGGCUUUGCGGUGCAUUAGCUAGUUGGUGGGGUAAAGGCCCACCAAGGCGACGAUGCAUAGCCGACCUGAGAGGGUGAUCGGCCACACUGGAACUGAGACACGGCCCAGACUCCUACGGGAGGCAGCAGUAGGGAAUCUUCCACAAUGGGCGAAAGCCUGACGGAGCAACGCCGCGUGAGUGAAGAAGGAUUUCGGUUCGUAAAGCUCUGUUGUUAGGGAAGAAUGGAUAUGUAGUAACUCUACAUGUAAGUGACGGUACCUAACCAGAAAGCCACGGCUAACUACGUG